GGAGAGGGCCCUAGCUCAGUGGUAGAGCAUCUCCUUUGCAUGCAGAAGGUCACAGGUUCAAUCCCUGGCUUUUCCA